ensembl:lncRNA
ACAAGGUAGCCCUACAAGUCAGUCAACAAGGUAGCAUUACAGGUCAGCCAACAAGGUAACCCUACAGGUCAGUCUGCAAGGUAGCCCUACAGGUCAGUCAACAAGGUAGCCCUACAAGUCACUCAACAAGGUAGCCCUACAAGUCAGUCAACAAGGUAGCCCUACAAGUCAGUCAACAAGGUAGCAUUACAGGUCAGCCAACAAGGUAACCCUACAGGUCAGUCUGCAAGGUAGCCCUACAGGUCAGUCAGCAAGGUAGCCCUACAAGUCAGUCAACAAGGUAGCCCUACAGGUCAGUCAACAAGGUAGCCCUACAAAUCAGUCAACAAGCUAGCCCUACAGGUCAGUCAACAAGGUAGCCCUACA